rnacentral:rRNA from 1 species
CACGUAGGCACCAAGCGUUGUCCGGAUUUAUUGGGCGUAAAGAGCGUGUAGGCGGCCAGGUAGGUCGGUUGUGAAAACUGGAGGCUCAACCUUCAGAGGUCGACCGAAACCAUCUGGCUAGAGUCCGGGAGAGGAGAGUGGAAUUCCUGGUGUAGCGGUGAAAUGCGCAGAUAUCAGGAAGAACACCCGUGGCGAAAGCGGCUCUCUGGAACGGUACUGACGCUGAGACGCGAAAAGCGUGGGGGAGCGAACAGG